UUUCCGUAGGUGAACCUGCGGAGGGAUCAUUACAAGUGACCCCGGUCUUACCACCGGGAUGGUCAUAACCCUUUGUUGUCCGACCCUGUUGCCUCCGGGGCGACCCUGCCUUCGGGCGGGGGCUCCGGGUGGACACUUCAAACUCUUGCGUAACUUUGCAGUCUGAGUAAACUUAAUUAAUAAAUUAAAACUUUUAACAACGGAUCUCUUGGUUCUG
rnacentral:misc_RNA from 1 species